UCAUGCGGUACCUGGGUGUUCAAGAGCUUGGGAACCCCAUGGCCCUGGCCUCUUUGUAGACCUGGGGACCCCGGAACCAGCUCCAGCUGUCCUGUGCCACAGACUGUGCUUUUUCAUCCCCAGAGCAGUGCCCAGGGGGCUACCCUAUGGCCCAACACCCAUCCAGCUACAGCAUGGGGCUAUGUGAAAUGACCUCAUCCUUCUGCUCGCUCCUCCUUUCCUAGUGCCAGGUAACUGGGAUCCUGUCCAUGGCCAGCAAGCAGUAAUGAAAAUGUUUCACACUUAUGAAAUGUUUACUGAAGAAAUAUAUCCUGUCUUAUGCAGCAGGUUCACCUAACAAAUCGUCUCAAUCUGGAAGAAAGAGUUGUUUAAGGCAAAAAAGAGUGUACUUACCACAACUUGCAACACCUGUUCAUUGUGAAGAGAGGAGGAGGAAGAAGAGGAAGAGGAGGAAGAGGAAGAGGAAGAAGAGGAAGAAGAGGAAGAAUAAGGAGAGGGAGAGUCAGCCAUCAUUUGUGCCAAAGUCUGCAUCAGUGUUUUUCCAAGGAGAAAAAAAGAGCUGAACAUGGCAAUCACGCCAAACACCAUUCCAAAAUUGAACCUGGCAACAAGAACAAAAACAAGCA